AGAGAAGCAGGGAGACAUGAGCAGAGUGAGAGAGAAGCAACAAGUGACUGCUGAUCUUUUCCUUGAAGAAAUCAAUCUAUUUGAAUUAUUUUGAAGUUAUGGUGGACUCUGGAGCUGGACUGGUAAACAGAGAAAGGACAGAAGAGAUGAAGAAAGCAAACAGGAGAGUGACAGAGCCCAGUCUGAAGCACUUCAGGAUAGCUUCUCAGAGAUGGAGAGAACUAAAGGAGUUAAAAUGACUGAAAACAGAUGCUGGGUGGAUCCUCUUCCUUGAAACAGAUAAUGUGGCAUCGUGUCCUCCUCCAUGUCAGAGACCAGCACCGCUGCUCUUUUGGAAGCUGUGACCACGGGCCACUUGAUGAGAGCAGCAGAGAUAAGCCAUGGAUGGUGUGAGGCUCUCCAUCACAUCAGGCUUGUGCAUCCAUCAUCCCUGAUAAACGCUGACUGAAGGAUGUGGAGAAGUUUACCUCCUUUCAGAACCACAUCCUCUUGUAUGCUGCAAAAUGGUUUUUCAUUCAGCUCACCAGUGUAUGAGGCGCACACUCCUCUGGCACCACACCCACAGGCCUGCAGCCCUGACUCUGAUGGUAACAAUGUGAGUGGUGGCAUUAAUGCUAAAAGUUUCUUAUUAGACAUGUCUCUAGUUAGUUAGUUUAACAAUAAAGGAAGUCAUAAAAAGGAAGAAAAGAAAGCACUUAGACUCAUUAAGUGAUUGUUUUCAUUAAGUAGUGAAGUGAAGAAGAAUCUUUGUCCUCUAAUGUCUCUGUUCAAACUUAUAAAAGUGUCUCCUUGUUUAGUUUUGGUAACAUGUAUGAGAAUAAAGUUUACACUUU